rnacentral:rRNA from 1 species
AACGAACGCUGGCGGCAGGCCUAACACAUGCAAGUCGAGCGAACCGCAAGGUUAGCGGCGGACGGGUUAGUAACGCGUGGGAACGUGCCCAAAGGUACGGAAUAGCCUCGGGAAACUGAGAGUAAUACCGUAUGUGCCCGAAAGGGGAAAGAUUUAUCGCCUUUGGAUCGGCCCGCGUUGGAUUAGGUAGUUGGUGGGGUAACGGCCUACCAAGCCGACGAUCCAUAGCUGGUUUGAGAGGAUGAUCAGCAACACUGGGACUGAGACACGGCCCAGACUCCUACGGGAGGCAGCAGUGGGGAAUCUUAGACAAUGGGGGAAACCCUGAUCUAGCCAUGCCGCGUGAGCGAUGAAGGCCUUAGGGUUGUAAAGCUCUUUCACCGGGGAAGAUAAUGACGGUACCCGGAGAAGAAGCCCCGGCUAACUCCGUGCCAGCCGCCGCUGUAAUAC